CCUACGGGUGGCAGCAGUGGGGAAUAUUGCACAAUGGGGGAAACCCUGAAGCAGCGACGCCGCGUGAGUGAAGAAGGAUCUCGGAACGGAAAGCUCUAUCAGUAGAGAAGAAAAUGACGGUACCUGACUAAGAAGCACCGGCUAACUACGUGCCAGCAGGCGCGGUAAUACGUAGGGGGCAAGCGUUAUCCGGAUUUACUGGGUUUAAGGGGAGCGUAGACGGCAGCACAAGUCUGAAGUGAAAUGCCCGGGCUUAACCCCGGAACUGCCUUGUAAACUGUGCGGCUGGAGUGUAGGUGGGGUAAGCGGAAUGCCUAGUGUAGCGGUGAAAUGCGUAGAUAUUAGGAGGAACACCGGUGGCGAAGGCAGCUUACUGGACUGUAACUGACGUUGAGGCACGAAAGCGUGGGGAGCAAACAGGAUUAGAUACCCCAGUAGUC
rnacentral:rRNA from 1 species